UACCAGCCCCUCGAGUGGUAGGGACGAUUAUUUGGCCUAAAGCGUUCGUAGCCGGUUUAGUUAGUUCCUCGUGGAAUACGACGACUUAAUCGUCGGGCGUGCGAGGAAUACUGCUAAGCUUGAGGGCGGGAGAAGUCGACGGUAGUCCUGGGGUAGGGGUGAAAUCCAGUGAUCCCAGGAGGACCACCAGUGGCGAAGGCGGUCGACUAGAACGCGCCUGACGGUGAUGGACGAAAGCUGGGGGAGCGAACCGGAUUAGAUACCCGGGUAGUCCCAGCCGUAAACGAUGCGGGCUAGGUGUUGGGUUAGCUACGAGCUAACCCGGUGCCGCAGGGAAGCCCUUAAGCUCGCCGCCUGGGAAGUACGAUCGCAAGGUUGAAACUUAAAGGAAUUGGCGGGGGAGCACCACAAGGGGUGAAGCUUGCGGUUU
rnacentral:rRNA from 1 species